AUCAGCCCGCUGCCGAGUGGGCAAACAGCGCAAAUCCUUGCAUCGUUAGGCCAUUGAAGAUGCGGGGAUCGGCGCUGUUUUUCU
rnacentral:ncRNA from 1 species